rnacentral:rRNA from 1 species
UACGGAGGAUGCAAGCGUUAUCCGGAAUGAUUGGGCGUAAAGCGUCCGCAGGUGGCUGUGUAAGUCUGCUGUUAAAGAGUCUAGCUCAACUAGAUACAAGCAGUGGAAACUACACGGCUAGAGUACGUUCGGGGCAGAGGGAAUUCCAGGUGUAGCGGUGAAAUGCGUAGAGAUCAGGAAGAACACCGGUGGCGAAGGCGCUCUGCUAGGCCGUAACUGACACUGAGGGACGAAAGCUAGGGGAGCGAAUGGG